AAUGCUCCUAAGAUUUUCAUCACCUAGGGAUCUUGUUAAAAAGCAGAUUCUGAUUCAGGGACCAAGAUUCUGCAUUUUUAGCAAGUUCUCAAGUGAUGCUAAUACCGCCGGUCUGUG
rnacentral:precursor_RNA from 1 species